rnacentral:tmRNA from 1 species
GGGGCUGACUGGAAUCGACAGGAAAGAUAAUCGAUAAGUAAGCAUGCCGGAGCAUGAUAAUUUAUCUCCGUUAACAAAUAAUUAUCAACCUAUAUUUUAAAUGGCGAAUAUAAUUAUGCCAUGGCUGCCUAAUUCUAGGAAUUAGAAAGCCUUUGUGCCUUAUGCUUGAUGUCUGAUACACAGCAUAACGCAUAUCAUAAAACUUCAGACUGGGUACCGGUAGAUGCCCUGAUACCGGGCCGAGAAACAAGGGCUAAGAUUUGAUUCGGUUUGUGUCAUGACCAAAAUCAAAUACGAAAAUUCAAUAUGACACUAAGCAUGUAGAAAGCUUAUGGGUGCUUUCUCUGGACCCGGGUUCGAAACCCGGCAGCUCCACUA